rnacentral:rRNA from 1 species
AUUGAACGCUGGCGGCAUGCUUUACACAUGCAAGUCGAACGGCAGCGGGGUAGUGCUUGCACUACUGCCGGCGAGUGGCGAACGGGUGAGUAAUAUAUCGGAACGUACCGAGUAAUGGGGGAUAACCAAUCGAAAGAUUGGCUAAUACCGCAUACGUCCUGAGGGAGAAAGCGGGGGAUCGCAAGACCUCGCGUUAUUCGAGCGGCCGAUAACUGAUUAGCUAGUUGGUGGGGUAAAGGCCUACCAAGGCGACGAUCAGUAGCGGGUCUGAGAGGACGAUUCGCCACACUGGGAAUGAGACACGGCCCAGACUCCUAAGGGAGGCAGCAGUGGGGAAUUUUGGACAAAGGGGGCAACCCUGAUCCAGCCAUGCCGCGUGUAUGAAGAAGGCCUUCGGGUUGUAAAGUACUUUUGUUAGGGAAGAAAAGGGAAGUGCUAAUACCACUUUUUGCUGACGGUACCUAAAGAAUAAGCACCGGCUAACUACGUG